GCACUACUGACGAGUCUCAAACAGGACGAAACAGCUGUCCAGUGC
rnacentral:hammerhead_ribozyme from 1 species